UCCUCCGCGGAGGCUCCGACAACGUCGACGCGGCUGCAGAUGCUGACGCCACCUUCCUGGGACCUGCAAGACCGGUUUGGGGACCGGAGUACACCCCUCUGCAACAACCUACUCACACACACAGGCACGCUGACCCCAGAGCCCAGAGACACCUCCAAACGACACCCCAAGGACCCAAAGGCACAAAAGAAACUGCAAAGCUGUCCCUCUCUAGAUCUCAGAUCUUGCUUUCCGGCAAUUGU